rnacentral:piRNA from 1 species
UUAGUGACCAAGUAUGGCCUCAGGU